UGUGUGUUAGUGGAAGCGUCUGGAAAGGCGCGUGAUACAGGGUGACAGCCCCGUACACAAAAAUGCACAUGCUGUGAGCUCGAUGAGUAGGGCGGGACACGUGGUAUCCUGUCUGAAUAUGGGGGGACCAUCCUCCAAGGCUAAAUACUCCUGACUGACCGAUAGUGAACCAGUACCGUGAGGGAAAGGCGAAAAGAACCCCGGCGAGGGGAGUGAAAAAGAACCUGAAACCGUGUACGUACAAGCAGUGGGAGCACGCUUAGGCGUGUGACUGCGUACCUUUUGUAUAAUGGGUCAGCGACUUAUAUUCUGUAGCAAGGUUAACCGAAUAGGGGAGCCGAAGGGAAACCGAGUCUUAACUGGGCGUUAAGUUGCAGGGUAUAGACCCGAAACCCGGUGAUCUAGCCAUGGGCAGGUUGAAGGUUGGGUAACACUAACUGGAGGACCGAACCGACUAAUGUUGAAAAAUUAGCGGAUGACUUGUGGCUGGGGGUGAAAGGCCAAUCAAACCGGGAGAUAGCUGGUUCUCCCCGAAAGCUAUUUAGGUAGCGCCUCGUGAAUUCAUCUCCGGGGGUAGAGCACUGUUUCGGCAAGGGGGUCAUCCCGACUUACCAACCCGAUGCAAACUGCGAAUACCGGAGAAUGUUAUCACGGGAGACACACGGCGGGUGCUAACGUCCGUCGUGAAGAGGGAAACAACCCAGACCGCCAGCUAAGGUCCCAAAGUCAUGGUUAAGUGGGAAACGAUGUGGGAAGGCCCAGACAGCCAGGAUGUUGGCUUAGAAGCAGCCAUCAUUUAAAGAAAGCGUAAUAGCUCACUGGUCGAGUCGGCCUGCGCGGAAGAUGUAACGGGGCUAAACCAUGCACCGAAGCUGCGGCAGCGACGCUUAUGCGUUGUUGGGUAGGGGAGCGUUCUGUAAGCCUGUGAAGGUGUACUGUGAGGUAUGCUGGAGGUAUCAGAAGUGCGAAUGCUGACAUAAGUAACGAUAAAGCGGGUGAAAAGCCCGCUCGCCGGAAGACCAAGGGUUCCUGUCCAACGUUAAUCGGGGCAGGGUGAGUCGACCCCUAAGGCGAGGCCGAAAGGCGUAGUCGAUGGGAAACAGGUUAAUAUUCCUGUACUUGGUGUUACUGCGAAGGGGGGACGGAGAAGGCUAUGUUGGCCGGGCGACGGUUGUCCCGGUUUAAGCGUGUAGGCUGGUUUUCCAGGCAAAUCCGGAAAAUCAAGGCUGAGGCGUGAUGACGAGGCACUACGGUGCUGAAGCAACAAAUGCCCUGCUUCCAGGAAAAGCCUCUAAGCAUCAGGUAACAUCAAAUCGUACCCCAAACCGACACAGGUGGUCAGGUAGAGAAUACCAAGGCGCUUGAGAGAACUCGGGUGAAGGAACUAGGCAAAAUGGUGCCGUAACUUCGGGAGAAGGCACGCUGAUAUGUAGGUGAAGUCCCUCGCGGAUGGAGCUGAAAUCAGUCGAAGAUACCAGCUGGCUGCAACUGUUUAUUAAAAACACAGCACUGUGCAAACACGAAAGUGGACGUAUACGGUGUGACGCCUGCCCGGUGC
rnacentral:rRNA from 1 species